AUCGGGAGCCGUCCUUGCUAGUUGGCCGGUCUCGUGGGCGAAUAGUGUGGCCACACUUUCAUCGCACUGUGGAAUGAUGAUGUGAUUGUUGGAUUGUUGAGAAAGUGGGGAGAUUGAUUGUCUGACCAGACUAUGAAAUGUUUUAGUGUUCUCGAUGAUAUUUCUUAACUACAUGUAAAACUCGAGUUCACUGGUUGAGCGGGAUGUUGCAGCGGAUGUUGAGUGAGCUUUAGGAAUUCCCGGAUGCAUCGUGUCUUCAUACAUGGGCGUCAUCCUAUGACUCUCUUUUGAUAACUUAUUUCCGCUGCUACUUUUGAAACUGAUGUCACAAGAGUUUACUUUACUUCGUACGGUUUUUAUUAUGUCAAAUACUUUGAGACUUUAAUCCGCUGCUUAUUUCGUUAAACUAAAAUGUUUUUGUAGACUAAAACAAAUGUUCUUUUGGGAGUUAAUUAGAUUUUUGCAUUAA